rnacentral:lncRNA from 1 species
AUGUCAAGUUGCUCAGUUGUCCCUCUUACUUUACCACAAUGGGAAGGCAGAUCACGAAGAAUUCGCUUCAUUUACAUGUCAAAUUCGACAUCGUUCAGACUGAAACUAUGUCCCAAAAAGGGUCCAGUGAUUCCUCUCUAUUUAGGAGCUGAUGUAUUGUCCAACACUGAUGUAAGAACAGAGAACCAUCCUAGGUACCACGCCAAGUUUGCAAAAAAAGGACUGGCCACAAAAAUACAUUUUUCCCCAGCUUUUAGGUUUCAUGGGUUAAAGGUUACAACCACAAAUAACAGCCUUUGGUUCUACAGUGUUCAAGGACUUUUCAGAGUAGCCUUUGAAAUGUACAGUAAGCAAGAACAGCUUUCUGUUUUGGAGAGUUUUCAGGAUGUCUGGAAAUCACAGAUAAGUGACAGCCCUCUGAAAAUGAGUUACAGCCUCAGUGAGAACCUUGACUUUUCAGUGCCCACUGGGAGUGACACACAAUUAAGGCAUUACCAGUUUGCCAAGGCAACAGCUGAUCUAUGUGGCAAUAACACAGACGAUACGUCCGCUGAUCAUGAUUAUUGCUCUUUUCCUAAGCUGAGCUCCCAGACUGAAGGGAAGCAACAAGAUUUAUUGACAGUGAGACAAAAACUCCACAGGUUAGAUCAUAGACUCUCCUCUGAGUUGUCAGGUUACACCGAUCAGCUAGAAACUAUUUUGUUACUUUUGGACAGCGUUGAUCGAUACAUAAACGGACAUCUAGAAGAAAAAGGUGUGUCAGAAACAGUCCUAGCCCUGCUAAAGGCCAAAGACUGGGGCUCUGUGUAUUCAAGCUCUCUGCUCAGUUGUAUAGGACGCUGGCUUGGUGAGCAGUUCCACGCAGCAAACAGCUGCAUCAGCCGAAAAGUGGAGGACUUUAAAGUUCAGCACAUUGAACAAAUAAGCAACUUGCCACCUGCCGAGGAACUGGCCACGGAACUUUUCCCAGAAGCCAUGCGGACAUUGCUCCUUCACUGGAUGGGCCUAAGUGAGGAGUCUACGCUGGAAAAGAGACACAGCGAAUACCCAAUCCUGCUCCUUAUCCUCGAGUUUGCAAACCACAACCUCAUUACUGGUGUUGCUCAUGUGCUGUACUCUAGUCUUAUAUGUAAAUAA